rnacentral:rRNA from 1 species
GACGAACGCUGGCGGCGUGCUUAACACAUGCAAGUCGAACGGAAAGGCCCUGCUUGCAGGGUACUCGAGUGGCGAACGGGUGAGUAACACGUGGGUGAUCUGCCCUGCACUUCGGGAUAAGCCUGGGAAACUGGGUCUCAUACCGGAGAGGAGCCAUCUUUAGUGUUAUGGUUGGAAAGAUUUUUGGGUGUAGGAUGAGCUCGCGGCCUAUCAGCUUGUUGGUGGGGUAAUGGCCUACCAAGGCGGCGACGGGUAGCCGGCCUGGGAGGGUGGACGGCCACAUUGGGGCUGGGAUACGGCCCAGACUCCUACGGGAGGCAGCAGGGGGGAAUAUUGGACAAUGGGCGCAAGCCUGAUGCAGCGACGCCGCGUGGGGGAUGACGGCCUUCGGGUUGUAAACUCCUUUCGCUAGGGACGAAGCUUUUUGUGACGGUACCUAGAUAAGAAGCACCGGCUAACUACGUG